rnacentral:rRNA from 1 species
CCCUAGUGAUUAGAGUUGAUCAUGCUCAGACGAACGCUGGCGGCGUCCUAACACAUGCAAGUCGAACGGGUGACGAGAAAGCUUGCUUUUUUGAACCUAGUGGCGAACGGGUGAGUAACGCGUAACCAACCUACCUUUAGGACGGGGACAACAGACGGAAACGACUGCUAAUACCGGAUAGACUCUCGAAUCGAGUGAGACGAAGAGGAAAGGUGGCCUCUCGAAGAAGCUACCGCCUAAAGAGGGGUUUGCGUCUGAUUAGUUAGUUGGUGGGGUAACGGCCUACCAAGGCGAUGAUCAGUAGCCGGUCUGAGAGGAUGAACGGCCACACUGGAACUGAGACACGGUCCAGACUCCUACGGGAGGCAGCAGUGGGGAAUCUUCCGCAAUGGACGAAAGUCUGACGGAGCAACGCCGCGUGAGUGAAGAAGGCCUUCGGGUUGUAAAGCUCUGUUAUUCGGGAAGAAAGGAUACGCUGUGAAUAAUGGUGUAUAUUGACGGUACCGGAAGAGAAAGCCACGGCUAACUACGUGCCAGCAGCCGCGGUAAUACGUAGGUGGCAAGCGUUGUCCGGAAUUAUUGGGCGUAAAGAGCGCGUAGGCGGUCAUUUAAGUCAGUCUUAAAAGUGCGGGGCUUAACCCCGUGAUGGGAUUGAAACUGGGUGACUAGAGAUCGGAGAG